rnacentral:sRNA from 1 species
AUCUCAAAACUACAAAUUAACUGAGGCUAAAGUGAUCGUUUUGUUUGAGAACUAACAACCCUCUUCUCAGAAGUUCUUGUGGCUAUGGUUUAUGAAGUAAAAUAAAACUAUCAAACAUCCUGUUGACUGAAUAUUAGUUUGUUUUGUUGGAAUAAAAUGCAUGUAUUGAUACUAAUUCUUUUCUGAAUAAAUGAAUGACCUUUUUUGU